AUGAUCCUCUUCAUCCUCUGCUGCUUAAGCUUCCACAUCACACUUGUUUCUGGUUCCUCUCCAAGUGACCAAAUCGUCCAGAUUCCAGCCGACAUGUUCAAAAACCCUGGAGAGAUGGCUAAGAUCAGCUGCUCUCACAGCAUCCCAGACUACGACCGCAUCCUCUGGUACAAACAGUCGGAGUUUGAUGGGAUGAAGCUCCUGGGAUACAUGCUGGGAGACGACGGAUAUCCAGAGAAGGAGCUCGAUGUGAAAAUAGACGGCAGCGCAAACAGAGACAAAAACAGCACUUUAACCGUCACAGAGCUCGGCCCAGACAGCAGCGCAGUUUACUUCUGUGCUGCUCGCUACCACAGUGCUGAAUAUCACUGCUGCUCUGUGCAAAAACCUCCUCAUAGGUGCAGCUGUGUGAACUCUGAGGUUCUGAUCCUUUCAGAUUUUUCAUUAUAG